rnacentral:rRNA from 1 species
AAGACCCGUGCCCACAGUUGCCAGCAUACCCUCCGGGGUGAUGGGCACACUGUGGGGACCGCCGCUGCUAAAGCGGAGGAAGGUGCGGGCUACGGUAGGUCAGUAUGCCCCGAAUCAUCCGGGCUACACGCGGGCUACAAUGGUUGGGACAAUGGGCACCUACACCGAGAGGUGAUGGUAAUCUCCUAAACCCAGCCUUAGUUCGGAUUGAGGGCUGCAACUCGCCCUCAUGAAGCCGGAAUCCGUAGUAAUCGCGUAUCAAUAUCACACGGUGAAUAC